rnacentral:rRNA from 1 species
UAGGGAAUCUUCCACAAUGGACGAAAGCCUGAUGGAGCAACGCCGCGUGAGUGAAGAAGGGUUUCGGCUCGUAAAACUCUGUUGUUAAAGAAGAACAUAUCUGAGAGUAACUGUUCAGGUAUUGACGGUAUUUAACCAGAAAGCCACGGCUAACUACGUGCCAC